rnacentral:rRNA from 1 species
AUGGCGCGGAUGAAGGUCAUCCAUGUCGCCGGCACCAAAGGUCAUCCAUGUCGCGCGGCCCGAUCGGGGAGCUCCGAUUCGUCUGCCCACCAGUCAGGUACGCCCUCUCCGCUCCGCCCCGAUUCACCCCUUGCAUCAGUACGACGAUGCCCUAGGAGCAAGGUAGCUCAAGGCAGAACCAGGGCUCUUGCCCGUGGAUCCUUCCGCACCCUAGUCCCGAUCCUGUGUGGCGUAGAAAUCCCUCUGCCCGUCUGCCGUAGCCGAGCUCCACGGUUGGUCGCUUGGUAUUUUUGA